AGUGAACGCUGGCGGUAGGCCUAACACAUGCAAGUCGAACGGCAGCACAGUAAGAGCUUGCUCUUACGGGUGGCGAGUGGCGGACGGGUGAGGAAUACAUCGGAAUCUACUUUUUCGUGGGGGAUAACGUAGGGAAACUUACGCUAAUACCGCAUACGACCUACGGGUGAAAGCAGGGGAUCUUCGGACCUUGCGCGAUUGAAUGAGCCGAUGUCGGAUUAGCUAGUUGGCGGGGUAAAGGCCCACCAAGGCGACGAUCCGUAGCUGGUCUGAGAGGAUGAUCAGACACACUGGAACUGAGACACGGUCCAUACUCCUACGGGAGGCAGCAGUGGGGAAUAUUGGACAAUGGGCGCAAGCCUGAUCCAGCCAUACCGCGUGGGUGAAGAAGGCCUUCGGGUUGUAAAGCCCUUUUGUUGGGAAAGAAAAGCAGCAGGUUAAUACCCCGCUGUUCUGACGGUACCCAAAGAAUAAGCACCGGCUAACUUCGUG
rnacentral:rRNA from 1 species